UACGGAGGGUGCAAGCGUUAAUCGGAAUUACUGGGCGUAAAGCGCGCGUAGGUGGUUCAGUAAGUUGAAUGUGAAAUCCCCGGGCUCAACCUGGGAACUGCAUCCAAAACUGCUGAGCUAGAGUACGGUAGAGGGUAGUGGAAUUUCCUGUGUAGCGGUGAAAUGCGUAGAUAUAGGAAGGAACACCAGUGGCGAAGGCGACUACCUGGACUGGUACUGACACUGAGGUGCGAAAGCGUGGGGAGCAAACAGG
rnacentral:rRNA from 1 species